AUUGAACGCUGGCGGCAGGCCUAACACAUGCAAGUCGGGCAAGCGGCGGACGUGUGAGUAAUGUAUGGGGAUCUGCCUGAUGGAGGGGGAUAACUACUGGAAACGGUAGCUAAUACCGCAUACCAUCAAAUGAACCCAUAUGGGAUUAGCUAGUAGGUGAGUUAACGGCUCACCUAGGCGAAGAUCCCUAGCUGGUCUGCGAGGAUGAUCAGCCCCACUGGGACUGUGACACGGCCCAGCCUCCUACGGGAGGCAGCAGUGGGGAAUAUUGACAAAUGGGCGCAAGCCUGAUGCAGCCAUGCCGCGUGUAUGAAGAAGGCCUUCGGGUUGUAAAGUACUUUCAGUCGGGAGGCGUUACCGACAGAAGAAGCACCGGCUAACUCCGUGCCAGCCGCCGCGGUAAUAC
rnacentral:rRNA from 1 species